rnacentral:sRNA from 2 species
CAAGCACCUCGUUAGGUGAGGCGUCUGCAUGGAUAUAGGCCACUGACCCCGAACGUCGAAAGACGCCCCGGGUCAGGACAGCUCCUCCCGGAUUAAGGGUUGAGCCCAAGUGGCUUCCGGAGCCUGCAUGGUUUUCGCAGGUCAGGACACGCCGUGCAGUGCCGAAGCUCUGACGAGAGGGGUGCGGA